AAGUCGUAACAAGGUUUCCGUAGGUGAACCUGCGGAAGGAUCAUUAGAAAUUUUUUAUGUAUUCAAAAAUUUUAAAUCUUUAUUAUAUUGUGUAUGAUGUUAUAUCAAAUAAACGAGAUAACUUUCAACAACGGAUCUCUUGGCUCUU
rnacentral:misc_RNA from 1 species